GCUGGGCGUGGUGGUGCAUGCCUGUAAUCCCAGCUACUCAGGAAGCUGAGGCAGGAGAAUUGCUUGAACUCAGGAGGUUUAGUGAGCCUAAAUCUCACCACUGCACUCCAGCCUGGGUGACACAGUGAGACUCUGUCUCAA
ensembl:misc_RNA Metazoa_SRP Metazoan signal recognition particle RNA